UAAGCUCCUUUAGCUACAGGCUAUGGGCCACAAGUUGAACCCUGUUUUUUAAAGCCACUAUUUGCUUAAAUUUUGGCAAGUGGCACCAUUAAAAAGUUAGCCAAAUUAGCUAUUAGCAAUUCCUGUUUACAGUGUACCCGUGAAUGUACGGAUAACUAUCUCUGAACUAAUUUGAUACUGGAGGAAAAUGUAAAACCUCAUUCUGCUGUUAUAAGGAGCGUCUUUUCUAUGAUUUCUCCGCGAAUUUCUGGAUAUUUAUUCAUGAUGGAACAUGGGACAUGGCGGCAUCCCCGGGAAGUCUCUUCUUCUGGACUAACUGGACAUGUAGUUGAAACUGACACCAUCCGGUUCUGCUGCGGGGGCUGUUGAGCCCCCCCCACCCUGUUUUCUGGCUCAAGGUGCUGAGGAGGCAUCAGCCGAGGAAGGGCAUAGAGGAGGACUGGGGAGUGAGCAUGAAUGAUGAAGCAAAAGAGAUGAGAGGUAAUUCAUACAGAGGAAUCACCUUUUAGUGGUAAAGCCCUGUGUAUAACAGUAGAUACAGUAAAUUCUUAUUUAAUUUGAACGGGUCAGAAAGUCAGUAAAUCUCUACAAACAGCAUUUAACUAUGGCCAGGUGUUACAUCAGGACAAGCAGAAAAAGUCCUGAAAUUUCACUCUUGUCCUCUGCAGGGGUUCAGUCUGUUAAACUGCUGAAAUCUUGCUUUCCUUGAGGACUGCAGCUACAGCAAGAGGGCAUGUGGAGAGGGCACAGUAGCUGCAGUGGCUGCUGCUCUAGCAAGCUGUGUGUACUUGGUGGCCUGGAUGGAUUAUGAGACAAUAUCCCCAGACACCUAGACUGCAGCUGUGUUGUUUGUCAUAGUUUUGUUUCUCUUUCAGUGACAUUUUGCAGGUGAACCAGGCCUCUCAGAUGCUGUUGCUGCCUUAAGCCUUCUGCAACAGCAGAUCCACACUGACACUUCUUUGCAUGGAUAUUAGUCCUAAUACUCCAGCAUACUAUAUAAAGUAUUGUAGUAAACCAUCUAAGAGAGUCUGCAGGUUACAACAGGGACUUGGGGUGAAACAGCAAGCCUUAUUAAUAUUUUCUCCGGACCUCUCUCCCCUUCAAAAACUGCAGUACAGCAUCUCUAUAAGUUAAUUUAAUUAAUUUGAGGGGAGCUGACCUUGUGUGCCUCUCCAAACCCUGUUUUGUAUUUGUUUGUUUCAGACAGAAGGACUGUUUAAGGGCUUUUCAUGUUUUUAUAUUGGAUAAAUAAGGACUGGUAUUUGGUAUAUGGAUUUGUUUAUUAGUUUUUGUCAAGAACAUUGUCAAGGAUGAGAAAAAAAUUAAACAAACCUCCUGAGCUCUCUCCUAACCCUGGGGUGCUCCAGUAGCUCACGUGGUACAGCAUGUACUGUAAAGUCCUUACCACGGCGGCCCCCUGACCCCGUGGGCCCCUGAGGCUGUGCUCAAUGGUCCUGUUCAGUAAUCCAUCCAUGCUGAGACAAUAUCUUACACAAACCGAAUUUAAUUCUGUAAAUUUAAAUAACAGCUGGAAAAAUUUAGUUGUUCAAGACAGUGGGGACGUACAUGCACUGUGUAUGUAUUUAUACAGUGUGGUCCGAAAGUCUGAGACCACUUUCCCAUUCACUUGAAUGAGAAAGUGGUCUCAGACUUUUUCCUGGCCCUGGUCUGGCUCUCUGCAUGGGAAACCUGCAGGGACUGCUCUCAGCAGAAAGCACUCUCUCCAUUUGUCAGCCUUUGACAAGCUCUCUCACCAGUGCAGCUGCCUGCACUGCAAAAAAUUACAGUUUUGACAAGUUAUUUAGUCUCAUUGAGCUUAUAUUAUGUUAAAACUUAUAUUAGAGCUGAAAUAAUUUGACAGUUAAUCAUUUAGUUGGAUGGAAAAAAUGAUCAGCAACUUUGGUAAUUUUUUUUUUUUUUUGUAGCCAAAACCGCAUUUGAUAACUUUUCUCCAUUGUUGUAAAUUGAAUAUAUUUAGGUUCUGGACUGAUGAAAAUAUUAAAAUAUAUAUUUGAUGACAAGCCUCGACUGUUUUUAAAGACCAUAUUCAAGAAACUAAUCAGCAUAACAAUCAAUAAGGAUUAUUGUGUAUAAUAUAUUAUUAAUAGUUUAAGUCCUAAUUGAAUCAUUGAAAGUCAUAUUUAAAAAUUACAGACGUGUUAGAUAAUUCCAGUUCCCCUGAGGGCUUAGCAUUCAUUUUCUUGAGACAAAUGGCAAUUUUAUGAAACAAGAAAAGAAAUAAAGAAAAACAGUUCAAGUCAACUGACACUCAAAAUCCAUUUUAUUUAGCUUUCUAAAAAGUCAUAUUUAGAAGAGACUCAGCUAAAGAUUGAAUCGCACAAUGAGUUGGAUAUUUUUUGUAGUGUGCUCAACUCUCAACUGACCCACACAAGCCUUUACUGUAAAUUCCACCAGCAGUCCAGUUAAUGUGUCCUGGCCAGGAAAACUGACAUGCUCCUCCAUCAUCGUACAAUAGGUAAUGGCUCUGCUGUAUGGGGUCUUUAUGUAGUGUAACAGUGGACAGUGGUUUAUGUCCAACAAUGUCUCCGUGUCCUCUCCUGCAACCUCAGGAAAAAGACUCAUCCCAUGCUUGGUUCAUUUUCCUAAGACAUGACAGCUUUUCAUGAGUCAUCAGUAUUUAACUUGAACAUCAUAACCUUAUAUACCACAAUAAGGUUAAGUUUUGUUUUAAUAAGCUCAAACUUUUUCCAACAGAAAUUUAAGAACUCAUACUCAUUCAAUAGUGUGUUGGAAGACAGACCAUAGAUCAUGGCCAGAUUAAACUCCUACAAAGCAAAAAUUUGUUGCUGGGUCCAUAUUGACUAUUUUGCUAUUGCCACAUAGCCAACUUCAGCAUUAACAGUGUUUACUUACCAGUCUAAAAGAAACGUUGCAACGUCAGCAUCAAACUUCAUCCCUUUUUUUCGCCAAGAGCUAUCUCCAGCAGUGGAAAACAACUCUUGUUUCUAUCACUUCUUUUCUUCUUCUGAAGUUAGCAUGCUAACCAGCUAGCACCGGCCCGUCUUGUCACUUUCCAAUAGCGUCUCACUGUAUCCUCUGAUCUGCCGUAAAGAAGUGCUGCUCAGACAAUGUAUUAUAACCUCUUUUAUUAUGGCUGAAACUCUUGUCAAGCGACAAUCACUACCACCCGUUCCUGGGAAGAAACCAUGUUCGGUGGCUGAGAAAAGUUACAAGCCUCUUUAAAGUAUAAAUCUAGAUUUUGAAACAUGGCCUCUCUUCAAGACCUGGGCCAUAAGAUGAAGGAUGUAGGACUUGUUAAAGUUGUGGUUUUAUAGAGGGUGGUUGUUAAUUAGUGUUAAUUGCCUCUUUGGAUAUAGCCAGGCUAACUGUUCCCUCCUCUUUCCAGUCUUUGUGCUAAGCUAAGCUAACUGGCUGCUGGCUCCAGCUUCAUAUUUGUCUUACAGACACGAAAGUGGUAUCAAUCGUCUCAUCUAACUCUCAGCACGAAAGUGAAUAAAUGUUUCCCAAAAUGUCAAACUACUCCUUUAAUAGAUCAUUGCUUUUCCAGCUAGUGACCCUGAAGGUGUCAAGUGCUAAACACCCUUUCCAGCGUUAGUGACCUUUGGUGGUAGAGCAGACCCCAGUCAGCAGAGACAAACAAUGCUCACGUUGUGUGUAUCGCAGUGCUUGAGCUUCAUGGUGAUAUCCUUUUUGUGGUUUUGUAUUUGCCAGCCUCCUUGAGCGCUGUGUGGUGAUGUAAUUGAAGGGGGAAGGUCACAGCACUGGGUUCGUUGACGUUAAGUUUAGAAUUUUCUCCCCAGACAAGCACGCUGACACUGCACACUGAGCAGGAGAAGCAUGUAAACUGAGAUCCACAUUGCCUGAUACCACAAGGACAUGUCCAGACUGGGAGCUUUGACAAUACGUCCUAACACGACAGAAAGAAAAUCUCCAUAUUAACUAUUAAAUUACAUUAAUUAUUCAGUGUUUUAUAUUGAGGACAAGACAAUUACGAGUUCACAAUAUCAGAUACUCUUUUUGAAUGGAGAGUAUCAGCAUAACUGGCUUGUAUGUAGCCUUAAUGUUGCUAUGGUAGCGUGUGUUUUCAAGUCCAUAAAAAGUGAGUCUUUCAGAGUUAGUGUUUUAUUAGUCCAGUUUAACCUGUAGGAGUUUCUGAAAGAUGCCACAGAGGAAAUAAAUUCAUGAUAAAAAAAAAAACAAGUUCAUUACGUCCUGACGUCUUUACUGGAGAAAUAAACCAGGAAGAAAAUCAGUCGGACAGCCAAAAACUACAGCUGUCACAGACGAUGAGCUCAAAAUGACAGUCUGAAAGAUGCCGUCAAUCCCAGAGCCUGACAGGAUAGAGUGCACGUCUGUGACUGAUAGACAAGAUACACUAACGUGGGGUUUUACUUACACAUGAGAAAAAUCCAAUUUAAGAUUAAUGUUAUCUCAGGGAAACCUUCCCAACAGGUCGUGUGUCAGUGUUUUCUAUCGUCAUGAAGUCUCAAAAACUGAUAUUGAAAAAAGCAGUCAUCUUAUGAUUAGGCCAAUACGGUAACAUGGUAAACAUUAUACCCUCCAAACACCAGUGUGUUCGCAUGCUGAUGUUUGCAUUUAACUGUCUAAGCACAGUCUCACAGAGCAGCUAUCAUAUCUGUAGCACUGUUUCUUUUCAUAGCUGGGUGGAUGAAUGGAUGGACUGAUCACUUUAUAGAUUGAUCGCUUUAUGGGUACAUGGAGGGAUCGUGGACAAACAAACAUAUUGAUCUUUGUUCAUUGUCGAUGUACUCCGUCAUGCACUAUUCCUUGAACACGGUGUGAUGGUAGACAUUACAGUACAGGAUGGGUGAGCGUGUCUGCAUCAAUGGAAAUUGAAUAAACUAGUACAUAAAAAGAUCAGUGGUUAAUUCAUGAUGAACUCAUCCCUCCUAAUCCUGCCACCACCACCUUCACUGGAUUGCAUCGUGUUUUCUGUAUCUCUACAGUGAUGUAGAUUUGUCAGUUGCCCGAGGUAAAGAGGUACAUUUAACUGGCCUGGGUUUCACAGAGACCAUUUGUGGACUUCCACAAGGAUGAGGAAAUUAUGGACGUGCCCUUAAUUAUUAAACAAGUGUGUCAGCAGCGUGGCCUGAUGGAGGUAAUGCAAAGAGGAAGUGGGCCAGAGAGAGGGCCUCCGGGAUCGGGGGGAUAAGAGAUGAACUGGUGGGCUUGGACCUGGGGGUGGGGUGGUGUUAGGCCCAAGGGCUUUGGCUCAAGCAUGGGAGAUCCAAUAAUGCUGUGAAAGCUAUUUUGCACAUUGUUAUCAUUCUAAACCUACAUGAGGCUGUUAGAGGUGGACUGCUGUGCACAGGCAUCUCAGUGAUUUGGUUUUACACAGUGUUGAAGCAGAGGACACUUGCGAUUUGAUACAGAGUAAUCAUACGAUACUGUGCAUGCACAGCUGAUUGGGCCACAAUGAAAAGGCCCUUGACAAACUUUUUGGAUGACGACAACAGGAAUGGCAUGGUGUUUUUUCGUACAAGGGAUAUGGGAUGAGUGUAUGUCUUCAAAGAGAUCGAUGAAGUGAGCCAGAGGCCUGACUCAGGCAAAUCAGCACAUCCUUUGUGUGUGUGUAUAUGUGUGUGUGUGUGAGAGAGAGAAACAGAAUGGAAGACAGCACAUGUAGCUACAGUACAUUUACACCCAGUCAUGGCUGAAAGCUCUCACUCCUUGAUAAGAACACAUUUGCUUUCAUUCAAGUCUACGUUUUAGGGCGGUUGUAAGAAACUGUAGAGCGUAGAGAAAGGAGGAGGUGGAGGAGGCGUUAAGCUCGUUGGAGGCCUAUUGCACCACUGACCGACAGCACCUCAAUUAGUCCAACACACUGAUCAGGGAUUACCAGGACAGUGGCUUAAACCACAGUUUCAAUUACAUGUUUCUCAUUUGCAUGUUGAGGCUGACAUCUGGGUGUAACAGCUGAUCUGAGACUGCCUGUAAACAUCCACCAGACUGUAAAAAGUAAAGCAAGUAACAAAUCCCAUGAAAAAGACUUAAACCAAGAAUGAAUUAAUUCAACAAGAGCUGAUAGUGCGCAUUCCUCCGCCCUUGAUUGAGUGUUUGGAUACAAAAUGCAUUUAUUCAUUAUGCAUUUAUGAAAUUAAGGAAAAUGGCCCUUUGUACUUACUUACCUAAAGUUUUUUUUUUCCCAACAUUUAACAUUUAAAUUCUCUAUCCUUUCUAUAGUUUAGAGUUACAGUUUAUGGAUGUUGUAUGUUGUUGUACUGUGUAUGCAUUAUUCAAGGUGAUAUCUUCAGAAGUCUUGUUUUGUUGAAUCGGUCCAAAAUCAAAAGGUAUUAAAUAAACUAUCAUAUGACAAAAAAAAUUUAAAUUUAAGAAGCUGCAAUCAUCAAAUAUUAGCCAUUUUAUUUAUUUAUUAGCCAAGUUUUGUCUGCAGCUGAACAUGGUUUCUUGCUGGGAGCAGGUGGUGGUGACUGUGGCUUGACAAGAGCUUUGGCCAUCAUUGUGUUUACAAGACGAGAAGUCAUAAUAGGCCCUCUGAGCAGCGCUGUGUCUUCAGAGCCAAUUGGAGGCUAUAGCUAGUUGCUAUUGGAAAAGGACGAGACGGGCCGAGGCUAGCUGGUUAGCAUGCUAAUUUCGGGAGAAGAAAAGACAUGAUAGAGUUAACAUUGGUGUUGCUUUCCACAGAAACACACAGAAACUGUUACUGAAUUUUAAAGAUUUCUGUCUUCAGUAGGAACUGAUGAGCUUGUGGCUUGCUGCCACAGACACGCUGUGGAAGUCAGAAAACACUGAUAGAUGACUAACGACCUUUUGGUUUUUGGUGUUUUUGUCGACAAUAACAGUAAGUUAGAUAUGUUUUGAUAAUUUCAUUACAUUUGCAUUAUAAGCUAAUCUAUAAAUAACCAGGGUCAUAAGGUGCUCAGCGACCUGGUGGUUGCCCUCAGGGACUGAGUCAGUAACACGUAAAUCCUCAUUUGGAUUGUUUAGUUUUUGAAGAGAGAUCAAUCUUGUAGUCAUUAAGGAUCAGGUGUUUUUUGUUUUAUGGUAUUUUAUUGCUCCAUUGUUUGUGUCUUGUGCCUUUGCGUGUGUAGUUUCUUUUUGAGUUUUGUGCAAAGGUCCAUCUAGGGAGGGGCACUGGAAAUUAGCUUUGGCUAUAAAUGUUGUGGUAUGUGGUUUAUGCUAUAUACUUGUCCCUAUAAGCAUUAAAUAAAUGGUCAUGGAUGACAUGGUAAACAUCAACAUGAGCAUGUAGCCAUGUGUGUUAUCUGACAGUCAUGGUGGGAUCUUUGAACCCCUGUGUGUGUGUAUACAUGUAGAUAAGUGAAAUGUAAGAGACAACAACAGAGAGAGAAAACUGAAAAAAGCAGGUGUGAUCUCUACUACGACUGAGCUCCUCUCCUGUGUGAUGCUCUGUGCUAUUACAGUCCAGUGGAGCUUCACAGCACUCAGAAGAGGGAGAGACAAAGAUGGACAGAGAGAGAGAGAGAGAGAGAGAGAGAAAACGUGUGCGAGAAGAGCGGGACCGGCGCCAGCUCACCCCACCCUUACUGCUGCUGCCUGCAGAGUGAGGAGUGCUGCAUUUCCUGAGGGCAAUGCAGAGGACAAGGAAGAAGAGACUCACUUCUGUUAAGGUCACUAUACAGCAAACACAGAGAGAGCCUGCGGCGGACAGAGAAACUGAGAGGGACAGAGACAUGAAGAGAGAGACAGAUGGACAGAUAGAGAGACAGAUGGACAGAUAUAUGGCGAGAGAGAGACAGAUGAGCUGCAGUAUUCACCAUGAUGCCUCUGCUGUCAAAUGUUCAGAUUCACGUCAUCAGAGGACAGAAUCAUUUUCACACCCCAAAAAUUACGCCCACCUAUUUCAGUGUCAUUGCUUGAUUUUCAUCCGACUGUUUUGUGAUUGGAUGUUUGUUGGCCGUUUUAGAGCUACUGCCCUCGACAGCUGCAUGUAUUCGAUAUUAAAAGACCAAUUUAUAUGGGGUUUUAUCUGACAUGCUUUCAAAAUCACACUCUUAGACACAAGAUGUUUAAGAGUAUGUUUAAAAAGAUUAUAAUUUAAGUAAAUGGAUGGCAAAAACUAAACGUCCCACCUGGGGGACUGUCUGGACUUGGUAGCUCUACUUCAGGUGUGUUUUGGUCUGUACCGGACUCACUCUUCACUCAGCCAUGACUAAUUACACAUUGUUUGAAAGCUCCAGGUCUCCUGGUUCUAUCUGUGUAAAGCAUUGUUAGAUCCCCACGUCACUGCAGCAGCUGUUGACACACAAUUGGUUCAGACUUGUGGCGAUGGCCCUAAAGUGUUUUCUACACAAAAGCUGCUACAGGCUUUAUAUUCUUUUUUUUUUAUUCUAAACAAAAUGGGCAAGGCUAAAGGCCUCUAUAACUUUGGUUCAGUAUCUUUUAUUCUCAUUCUGACUUUUUGGUUGUAAAAUUUUAAAAGUUACCUUUCAGAGGAGAUCAGCAUUAUGGUUGUAAUCAAAAGGGUUGAAGAACAGUAAACCUUUUUAUUUCCAGCACAUUAUUUUUGGGCUUAUGCACAAGUAACAAGUUAGCUGAGAAUCUCAGAUCUACUCUGAAGACAUAACUUUUACAUCUUGAAAGAUUAGUCCAUUAGUUGAGCAACAGAAAAUUAUUUUGAUAAUCUUAUUUUAAUUAAUCUUGCAAGCAAAAUAACCAAACAUUCCCAUGUCCCUAUUCUUUGGCUCAUGUGAUAGUAAACCAUUUUUCACUAUUUUGUGACAUUUUAUUGAUUGAUUAAUUGGUGAAAAUAAUCAUCAUAUUAAUCUAUAAUUAAAAUAAUUGUUAUUUGUAGCCGAGCUAACUUCAUUAUUUGACACACAGCACCUCAGAGUCCUACUCUGAUGGUUUUACGCUAGUGUCCAUGUGAAUACAGGAGGAAAAAAAGAGAGUGAAGGGAGCACUUCAGGACCCUGAGGUGCGUAACAACUCGCAGGGAAUGACAGAGGUAAGCGGGCCUCUCCUGGGAUGGAGGAUUAGUGUGAACCAUUACCUUAGCCUCGUGAAUCACUGCUAAUAGCUUCAGCGAGAGGGUAGUACAGAGGCAGGACACAUUUAGAUUGAGACUUCGAGUUCUGUAACACUGCACACUGCGGCAUAUUUCUCCUGUUAGU